rnacentral:rRNA from 1 species
UACGUAGGGGGCAAGCGUUGUCCGGAUUUAUUGGGCGUAAAGAGCGUGUAGGCGGCCAGGUAGGUCCGUUGUGAAAACUGGAGGCUUAACCUCCAGCUGUCGAUGGAAACCAUCUGGCUAGAGUCCGGAAGAGGAGAGUGGAAUUCCAGGUGUAGCGGUGAAAUGCGUAGAUAUCUGGAGGAACACCGGUGGCGAAGGCGGCAUCCUGGACCAAUACUGACGCUGAGGAGCGAAAGCCAGGGGAGCAAACGGG